ensembl:lncRNA
AAACAAGUCUGCUUGAGACCAAAAUCCUUGUUGUUCCAACACACUAAUUCUUGUUACCAUCUUCCAGAAGAAAAGAUGGAUUGUUCAUUCUUUGGCAAUAAGGGCUCUGGUAAGAAGGAUUAUGUUUUUCCAUUUUAUAUUCCCCAAGCACAGUGCCUGACUCCAAGCCCAAUGUGUGCUGUGAUGAAUGCAAGCUGAUCUAAAUGGAGCUGGUCCCGUGUUGGCAUCCCCUCCCCUUCUAGCUAGGGCAUUGUGAAAAUAGAAACCCAAAAUAUUGUGCAAUGAGAAAAUACAAGCAUGAAGCUGAAGCAGGAAGUUAAAGACAAUGAAAAUACCAGCUCUAGCCCCAUCCCUGGGAAAACAAGCAACAAGCAUAUCAACCACCACUGAAAAGCUUUAGAGUAUACCCAAGAGAAAUGUUUGCUUAUGGGCAAAGCCCAGACUCAUCAGAACCAUACAUCAGGCCUUUUGUGAUUUGGCCCCACCUGCUCAUUUCUCAUGAUUAAGCCCUCCCUCCUCACUCCUUCCUUCCCAAGUAUCUGGUGCAACAACCAAACCAAACCAUUAUCCUAAAAACCCGAUGUGUGCUUUCAAGCUUCCAUGAAGUUGUGACUUCUCUUCCAAAGGCUCCUUCUCCCUAUUUCUAUCUGGUGAACACCUCUCACUCUUCAAAUGACAUCUUCACCCUGCAUCUUUUCAUAAACACCAUCGCCUUGACCCUCAAAUAUUUCAAUGAAAAGACUUCCAAGGCAACAAGGAAUGUGAUUCAGUGUCCUAAGGAGUUGGAUGUCCUGGCUGGAGGGACAUUAGACAUCUCAUGGUUGAAUUUUCCUAUUGUUCAGAAAUCCUGUCAAUAAAGACCCUUGGCACUAAACAGAAGGUGGAAAAUUAAAGAAGCGCUGUAUUUUCACAACACCUGGCCUAGAUUUAUGGCACUGAGCAUGCCCCCUCCCUUCCUGGAUCUUCGUGUCCUGUUCUGCAAGAUGGCAGCCUGGGACUCCCUGAAGUCUCCUUUGAGACCCCUCACCUCUGGCAUCUUGGGAAUCAAACAUUUUACACCAAGAAUUUAGCACCCUUUACUUUCUCCCCGAUUUCCUUUCCUCCCCAUACAUGGGCUUUAGUAAUAGAAUCAUAGGUUUGGUUACCAGGUUAGAAGUAUGAUUAGUUUUUGCCUUAUAUGUGUUAUUUUUAGAUAACUUUUUCCUUUUACAGUUGCUUUGUCUUAUAGCCAUAUUUAUAACCUUUCAACUGAGCUCUAUGUUUGCUACAUUUCAGUGGUUCGCACUGGUCCUUUUAUAGACCUCGAUGUCUUCAUUCUUGGGUUCUUAUUUUUCUGUUGGUCUGUCUGUAUCUUCAAAAAAUAUUUUGAAAAGUACAUAUUGGGAUGCCUGGGUGGCUCAGGGGUUGAGCGUCUGCCUUUUGCUCAGGGCGUGAUCCCGGGGUCCUGGGGUUGAGUCCCACAUCGGGCUCCCUGCAUGGAGCCUGCUUCUCCCUCUGCAUAUGUCUCUGCCUCUCUCUGUGUGUGUCUCUUAUGAAUAAAUAAAUAAAAUCUUUUUAAAAAGUA